UACGGGGGGGUAAGCGUUGUUCGGAAUUACUGGGCGUAAAGGGCUCGUAGGCGGCCAACUAAGUCAGACGUGAAAUCCCUCAGCUUAACUGGGGAACUGCGUCCGAUACUGGUUGGCUUGAAUCCGGGAGAGGGACGUGGAAUUCCAGGUGUAGCGGUGAAAUGCGUAGAUAUCUGGAGGAACACCGGUGGCGAAGGCGGCGCCCUGGCUCGCAACUGACGCUCAGACACGACAGCAUGGGGAGCGGAACGGG
rnacentral:rRNA from 1 species